UACAGAGGGGGCAAGCGUUGUUCGGAAUUACUGGGCGUAAAGGGCGCGUAGGCGGCCUGUUAAGUCGGACGUGAAAUCCCUCAGCUCAACUGAGGACGUGCAUCCGAAACUGGCGAGCUUGAGUACUGAAGAGGAUCGCGGAAUUCCCGGUGUAGAGGUGAAAUUCGUAGAUAUCGGGAGGAACACCAGUGGCGAAGGCGGCGAUCUGGGCAGAUACUGACGCUGAGGUGCGAAAGCGUGGGGAGCAAACAGG
rnacentral:rRNA from 1 species